GACGAACGCUGGCGGCGUGCCUAAUACAUGCAAGUCGAACGCUGAAGGAGGAGCUUGCCCUUCUGGAGGAGUUUCGAACGGGUGAGUAACGCGUAGGUAACCUGCCCGGUAGCGGGGGAUAACUAUUGGAAACGAUAGCUAAUACCGCAUAAGAGUAGCUGUUGCAUGACAUUUACUUAAAAGAUGCAAUUGCAUCACUACCAGGUGGACCUGCGUUGGAUUAGCUAGUUGGUGGGGUAACGGCUUAUCAAGGCGACGAUACAGAGCCGCACGGAGAGGGGGAGCGGCCAGACUGGGACGGAGACACGGCCCAGACGGCUACGGGAGGGAGCCGGAGGGAAACGGGGGCAAUGGGUGGAAGACUGAGCGCGCAAGGCCGCGUCAGGGAAGAAGGAUGUCGGGUGGGAAAGGUCGGUUGUAAGGGAAGAACGAGUGUGAGACUGGAAAGUUCAGACUGUGACGGUACCUGAACAGAAAGCGACGGCUAACUACGUG
rnacentral:rRNA from 1 species